rnacentral:rRNA from 1 species
AUAAGUAAUCAAAGUGAUUGUUAAGGAUGCCUAGCAAACAUUUAUUAAAGGAGGUGGAAACACCUAAAGCUAUGUCUAGCUAUAAUAGCAUAGCGGUCCUAAAGGAAACUAAAAUUUAAAAACGCAGUGAACUGAAACAUCUAAGUAACUGUAGGAAAGGAAAUCAACCGAGACUCCAUAAGUAGUGGUGAGCGAAAGUGGACUAGCCUAAUAAUUUAAUAUUAUCAUAGAAUCAUUUGGAAAAAUGAUCCCAUAGAAGGUGAUAGUCCUGUAUAUGUGGUAUUAAAUCAAAUCAAGUAGAGUGGAAGAUAAUCUGCUUCAAUAAUAUGGGGAACCAUCCUCAAAGGCUAAGUAUAAAUGUUUAGCGAUAGUGAAGAGUAACGUGAGUGAAAGGUGCAAGAGAAAGUCGAUGACUGGUGAAAUAGAAUCUGAAUUAGCAAUCAUAUAAGCAAUUAAAGCAAUUGAAUCUUACAAUGACUUUUGAGAGUAAGAAUGAAAAUGUAAUAAUGUACCUUUUGUAUAAUGGGUUAGCGAGUUGAUGGCAGUAGCGAGGUUAAUAGCCCUAGCGAAAGCGACUCACAUCAUAACAGAUGUGCGGGAAUAGUUACUGUCUUCAGACCCGAAACGCGGUGAUCUAUCCAUGACCAGAUUAAUAAUAAGAUCGAAUGGUUCAAUGUUGCAGUAUUGUCCAAUGAGUUGUGGAUUGUCGGUGAAAGGCCAAUCUGACUGCGAUAUAGCUGGUUCUCCUCGAAACAUAUUUAGGUAUGACUUUCUGAUUUAGAUUUAUGCGGGUACAGCACUGAUUACCAUACUGAGCUUUAAUUUUAAAGUAAGGUUUAAUUGGGGGGUUGUCGAACUUUAUCAUUGGUUAAUUAACCUCGGAAACAACAUAAAUUGAUGCAGAAAUUUCAGACUACUCAUGAUAAGGUGGGUAGUCGAGACGGAAACAGCCGUGAACAUAGAAUAAGGUCCCAAAGUAAUGAUUAAGUGAAAAUAAGGAAGUUGUGGUUCGAAUACAACUAUAAAGUUAGCUUGGAAGUUGCUAUCUUUUAAUGAAAGUGUAACAACUUAGUAGUCUAAUGAAACACAGCACCGAAGAUUAACGGGUCUAGAUCAUUCACCGAAACUAUGUCUAUAUGUUCUUAAUAUAAAAAGGAAUGUAUUUGGGUAGAGGAGCAUUCAGUAUGGUUGAAGAAUAGUGUUUCAUUAUUUGGACAUUACUGAAGAGAUUAUGCUAACAUGAGUAACGUAGAAAGAAGUUAUAAUACUUCUCGCCGAAUGCGAAAGGGUUUCAAAGAAAUGUUAAACAGCUUUGAUUGAUAACGGUCUCUAAGGUUAAAUCAAAUGUAUAAACCGAUGAGUAUAGGGUAGAAAGUUUUUUAUCCAAGAAAAUAAUACCUUUAUUAUCAUUUAUGAUAAUAAAUUCUAAAUAACCGUACCCUAAACUGACACAAGUUCGUAGGUAGAGAAUACUAAGGCGUAGAGAUAAUACUGUAUAAGGAACUCGGCAAAAUGCGUCCGUAAGCUAGACAAUAAGGACGACCACAAAGGUGUCACAGAAUCGUGAAGCACAACUGUUUACCAAAAACACAGGUAUCUGCUAUGUUUAAUAACAUUGUAUAGGUGCUGAAUCUUGUCCGAUGUCCAGAGUAUAAUAUAGGUGAAGAAGUUAAAGUAGUUUAAAUAUCAUGUGGUUUAGUGGCGCUAAGGGCAUGAUGUCUUAUGUAAGUAUCUUUGAUAUAAUUGAGAGGUAUUACUUUGUUAAGUAAUAUGGGUAAAUGAAUUAUAUAAGAACGAAAUUUAGUAGUCAUUUAUAAAAGCUCCGAUCAAUGACAGACUUAACUAUAAGGUUUUUAACAGUAGCGAAAUUCCUUGGCCGUUAAAUGCGGUCCUGCAUGAAUAGAGUAAUGAUGCUUCAGCUGUCUCAUACAGUAUCUCAGUGAAAUUGAAUUAGCCGUGAAGAUGCGGUUUAAAUGUGGGUAGACGGGAAGACCCUAUGCAGCUUUACUAUAAUUAGUUAGUAUUUUCAUUUGAAACA